CUAUACUCUCCUUUGAGAACUCUUAAGUGUUCAAAGGAAACACAGGUCUGAUAGACAUAGGAACUAGCAAAAGUGGGAGGAGAAAUGAGAGUGUUCAGGUGAUGCAGUCAACACAGUGCUGAAUCUUGCUUUAUGUUCCUGAGCACUUAAUAUAAAAAGGAAACUGCUGAAAGAAGAAGGAUCCUCCAGGAAAAAAUUAAUACACAAUCAAAGAUGAUUACAUGACUUAAAGAUAAUCUUAAAAAUUUACACCUACAUAAGGAGCACUACUCAAUUAAAAGUGUAUGCAGUCUCCACUCUCAUUGGCAGACAGAAGUAUCUGCAGCUGGGAGAACUCCUCUUGGCCAGCCAGAGACCACAUUCAGAAGUCUGACUAACUCUGGCUAUUGUUUCCUAAAAGGACCUGUUCGAAAACAGUCGAUAGGUGAGACCUUCAAAUGGAACUGCCCAAAUGGGAUCACAGCCAAAGGUGGCUGACCUGAAAACUGGGGAGCUGAAUUUCCAAGGUUCUUUCUUUACCACGUACCAUCAGCAGAGAUGCAUUUUUUUUACUGGGAAGUAAAUACAUUUCUGAUUAAUUACAGAACUAAUCAAGUUUCUUUCUCUCUUAGAAGUACUGACUCUGUAAAGCUAAAAAAAAUUAAAAGGCAUGCAUGAGAAAAUGUGUUCCAUAAAAAGAUAAGACACAACUCUGUCUUUCUGUAGUCUGUCAUUGAGUAGAAUCAGCUCUGUUUAGAGGAAGGUGAGAAUUUGCUGUGGUUAUUUUUCAAAAUAUAGUUGUGUUUUAAAAAUAAGUUCAUCUAAAGAGUCUGAGUUUUUUCUGUCCUUUUUAGUGCUGUAACUACCACAUUAAAUUUUUAAUGCACUAUUUUGAACUUCUUUUCCUAUGUAUAGAUGUUCACGACAAUGAAUUUGAAUGCUUGUAAUUUUAUUGAACAAAUACGUUUUAAAUUAUAUUCUUUUUUUUAAGUAAUUGUAUUUGUGUGUUCUCUCUGUCUCUCAUAUUUUUUAUUUAAGUUAGACAAAGG
rnacentral:lncRNA from 1 species